AAAUUGAAGAGUUUGAUCAUGGCUCAGAUUGAACGCUGGCGGCAGGCCUAACACAUGCAAGUCGAGCGGCAGCGGAAAGUAGCUUGCUACUUUGCCGGCGAGCGGCGGACGGGUGAGUAAUGUCUGGGAAACUGCCUGAUGGAGGGGGAUAAC
rnacentral:rRNA from 1 species